ACGGGAGGCAGCAGUGGGGAAUAUUGCACAAUGGGGGAAACCCUGAUGCAGCGACGCCGCGUGGGUGAAGAAGUAUUUCGGUAUGUAAAGCUCUAUCAGCAGGGAAGAUAAUGACGGUACCUGACUAAGAAGCACCGGCUAAAUACGUGCCAGCAGCCGCGGUAAUACGUAUGGUGCAAGCGUUAUCCGGAUUGACUGGGUGUAAAGGGAGCGUAGACGGCUGUGCAAGUCUGAAGUGAAAGGCUGGGGCUCAACCCUGGAACUGCUUUGGAAACUGUAUAGCUAGAGUGCAGGAGAGGUAAGUGGAAUUCCUAGUGUAGCGGUGAAAUGCUUAGAUAUUAGGAGGAACACCAGUGGCGAAGGCGGCUUACUGGACUGUAACUGACGUUGAGGCUCGAAAGCGUGGGGAGCAAACAGGAUUAGAUACCCUGGUA
rnacentral:rRNA from 1 species